rnacentral:rRNA from 1 species
CCUACGGGAGGCAGCAGUGGGGAAUAUUGGACAAUGGGAGCAACCCUGAUCCAGCCAUGCCGCGUGAGUGAUGAAGGCUCUAGGGUUGUAAAGCUCUUUCGCCGAUGAAGAUAAUGACGGUAGUCGGAGAAGAAGCCCCGGCUAACUUCGUGCCAGCAGCCGCGGUAAUACGUAGGGUGCGAGCGUUAAUCGGAAUUACUGGGCGUAAAGCGUGCGCAGGCGGCUCACUAAGACAGGCGUGAAAUCCCCGGGCUUAACCUGGGAACUGCGCUUGUGACUGCAAGGCUAGAGUACGGCAGAGGGGGGUGGAAUUCCACGUGUAGCAGUGAAAUGCGUAGAGAUGUGGAGGAACACCAAUGGCGAAGGCAGCCCCCUGGGUCGAUACUGACGCUCAUGCACGAAAGCGUGGGUAGCAAACAGGAUUAGAUACCCUGGUAGUCCACGCCCUAAACUAUGUCAACUAGGUGUUGGGUGGGUAAAACCAUUUAGUACCGUAGCUAACGCGUGAAGUUGACCGCCUGGGGAGUACGGCCGCAAGGUUAAAACUCAAAUGAAUUGACGGAAU